rnacentral:rRNA from 1 species
CUGGAGCUUGCUCCGGUGGAUUAGUGGCGAACGGGUGAGUAACACGUGAGCAAUCUGCCCUUCACUCUGGGAUAACUGCGGGAAACUGUAGCUAAUACCGGAUACGAGACCUUGGGGCAUCCCAGGGUCUGGAAAGAAUUUCGGUGAAGGAUGAGCUCGCGGCCUAUCAGCUAGUUGGUGAGGUAAUGGCUCACCAAGGCGACGACCGGGUAGCCGGCCUGAGAGGGUGACCGGCCACACUGGGACUGAGACACGGCCCAGACUCCUACGGGAGGCAGCAGUGGGGAAUAUUGCACAAUGGGCGAAAGCCUGAUGCAGCAACGCCGCGUGAGGGAUGAAGGCCUUCGGGUUGUAAACCUCUUUUAGUAGGGAAGAAGCGAAAGUGACGGUACCUACAGAAAAAGCACCGGCUAACUACGUGCCAGCAGCCGCGGUAAUACGUAGGGUGCAAGCGUUGUCCGGAAUUAUUGGGCGUAAAGAGCUCGUAGGCGGUUUGUCGCGUCUGCUGUGAAAAUCCGAAGCUCAACUUCGGACCUGCAGUGGGUACGGGCAAACUAGAGUGCGGUAGGGGAGAAGGGAAUUCCUGGUGUAGCGGUGGAAUGCGCAGAUAUCAGGAGGAACACCGAUGGCGAAGGCACUUCUCUGGGCCGUAACUGACGCUGAGGAGCGAAAGCGUGGGGAGCGAACAGGAUUAGAUACCCUGGUAGUCCACGCCGUAAACGGUGGGUGCUAGUUGUGGGUUCCAUUCCACGGAAUCCGUGACGAAGUUAACACAUUAAGCACCCCGCCUGGGGAGUACGGUCGCAAGA